UACGAAGGGGGCUAGCGUUGCUCGGAAUCACUGGGCGUAAAGGGUGCGCAGGUGGCAUGGCAAGUUUGAUGUGAAAGCUCAGGGCUCAACCCUGAAAUGGCAUUGAAUACUGCUGUGCUGGAGGUUUGGAGGGGGGACUGGAAUUCUUGGUGUAGCAGUGAAAUGCGAAGAUAUCAAGAGGAACACCAGUGGCGAAGGCGAGUCCCUGGACAACACCUGACACUGAGGAGCGAAAGCCAGGGGAGCAAACGGG
rnacentral:rRNA from 1 species